AAAAAUAUACAUAUUUCAUAUCUCAAUAUAACAAGAUGAACAAUGAAAUGCCAUCAAAAUUAAUACAUCAAGUUAUAAAUUCAUAAUUACAACUUGUACAUUCAUCAAAACAACCAUUUAAAAUUCUCUAAACGCAAUUAUUUGAUACUUCUACAACAUGGAAAGAAAUAUAAAACUUGUUAGAUAUAAACUCAUUAAGGUUUUUAAGUUUUAUCGGUAUAAACGUAGGAAUUCUUGAAGAACAUAAAGGGGAUGAAGAAUUCAAACACACAAACGUUUUAAUGAGUUCGCAGGUUUGUAAGGGCGAAACAUACAAACUUAUCAAUGUAAUCAUACAUUCGUAUCUAUAACAUAUGUAACAGAUACAAAAGUAUGAACUAUCUAUAUGUUCGUGUCUUAUCAAUACUUUCUUGUGAAUUCAUCAAGAACACAUGAGACAUGAACAACAUGAAGAACCUAGAAGAUAUAUAAACAAACUUACAAAUAUCUAUAUGUUCGUAUGAGAUAGUGAAACAAACGUACCACCAACGCCUACGUUCGUCCUAAUGGGUCGUGAACACAACGACCGCAUCGACAAGGAAAACGAAUGAAUUACCACGUCAUGCAUUCUUCUAGGUGACGUGAACAAAACAUUUGUAUGAGGCAGUGAAACAAAUGUACCGCCACGACAGGUGUUCGUCUCGGUGGGACAUGAACAAAACGUCUGUAUCUGAGACAAUCCAUAAAAAAUUAACAACGAACAUAAUGAAGAACAUAAAAAAUCAAGAACAACCAAAUCCAAAAGAACACAAAGAACAUGAGGUUAAAAGAUAGCUCACCUACCUUUCCGAAAUUUUUGUUUCUUCGUGCAAAGAUCCGUCAAAACAAACCUAAAUCGAUCAUCAAUUCAAAGAAAUCGAGAGAGAAAAACUCAGAGCAACCAAAACCAUAAAAACUCGAAGAAUAUGAAGAACAAGAGCAAGAAAUGAAGAUAACCCAUAUUUUCGAGGUUUGUUUACACUCUUCUAUUGUUUUUCUUGUGCAAAGAUCCAUCUUGAUAGUUCUAAGAUCCAUCUUGAAGAGUAAAAAAUGAAUUCCAAUCUAACAUUCAUUCAAAAAAAUUCAGAGGAAAAAGGGCAGAAACUAGAAAGAGAAGUGGAAAAAAGUUUGAAUCUGGAAAUUUUGAAUUAGAAAGAGGAAUAUAUGAGUGGUUAAGGUAUUUAUAAUAUUCAUUUCUAUUUUUUAAUAUCCUCUCGUAUGUUUACCGGAUGCGAACAUGUUUUCUCGUGUGCUUUUCGGAUACGAACG
rnacentral:lncRNA from 1 species